UACGAAGGGGGCGAGCGUUGUUCGGAAUUAUUGGGCGUAAAGGGCGCGUAGGCGGUGCGGUAAGUCACCUGUGAAAUCUCCUGGCUCAACUGGGAGCUUGCAGGCGAAACUGCCGUGCUGGAGUGUGGGAGAGGUGCGUGGAAUUCCUGGUGUAGCGGUGAAAUGCGUAGAUAUCAGGAGGAACACCUGUGGCGAAAGCGGCGCACUGGACCACAACUGACGCUGAGACACGAAAGCGUGGGUAGCAAACAGG
rnacentral:rRNA from 1 species